rnacentral:lncRNA from 10 species
CAGAGAAGCAGAAGGUGUUUUUACAUAUCUUGGGCUCAUUCUUUCACAGGCAUGAUGAUCAAAGUUAAAUUGGAAUUCCACCAAGAGUAGAUAUUUUGCCUCUCAUCGCUAUGCUUAGGGCAAUAGGUAAUAUUGUGCCAUAUACCAGAGACCAGAUCAAAGGCCUAAUAAGGACUCUUGUACCUGGAGCCAGGACUUGUGCAGGAUGGUGACUCUCAUCCCUGAACAUUUCCACAGGUGUUAUUGUGACAUAUACCUGUGCCCACCUCCUGAGUGAUUUAAUAAUCCUGCCUGUUAUAGCCCACAGAUGACAUAUUGACGUAUACCUGGGCCAAGAACCUUGGUGAUUUGACUCUCAUAUCUUAACAGUGUCCUCAGAAGGGACCGUCACAUAUCUCUGGACCCAUCAUCUAGGUUAUGUGACUCUCCUCUCCUACCUGAACCCUGCUUCCAGUGAAGAGUGUAGCAUUUCUAAGCACUGCAUCCAAAUGACAUGACUCUCUUGCCUGGGCCCUUUUAA